GGACGAACGCUGGCGGCGUGCUUAACACAUGCAAGUCGAGCGGUAAGGCCCUUUCGGGGGUACACGAGCGGCGAACGGGUGAGUAACACGUGGGUGACCUGCCCUCAGCUCUGGGAUAAGCCUGGGAAACUGGGUCUAAUACUGGAUAUGACUCCACGGUGCAUGUCGUGGGGUGGAAAGCCUUGUGCGGCUGAGGAUGGGCCCGCGGCCUAUCAGCUUGUUGGUGGGGUGANGGCCUACCAAGGCGACGACGGGUAGCCGGCCUGAGAGGGCGACCGGCCACACUGGGACUGAGACACGGCCCAGACUCCUACGGGAGGCAGCAGUGGGGAAUCUUGCGCAAUGGGCGAAAGCCUGACGCAGCGACGCCGCGUGAGGGAUGACGGCCU
rnacentral:rRNA from 1 species